rnacentral:lncRNA from 1 species
GCAGAACGGUGCCUGGGCCAGGUGGGAUUCCUUGCUUCAGGGGCCGCCUGGCCACCAAAUAGACGUAGGUGCCCGCCCCGAAGAGUGUAGAGCCCGACAGCACGCGACAACUCCAGCAGGGGAGCCGGGCGGAACAGGGCGGAGCUGCAGCCGCCUCAGAGGCUUGUGUAAUCCAGAAGUUCAAAAGUCAAGGCUGCCUCAUCCCGGCCUGGUGGGUAUUGCAUGGCUGAACAUCUGGGAAUGCUGUUCUAUGCUGUCUCGUGAGUCAGAGGAUGAGAAGAUGGGCCCCAGGUGUCUUGCAGUCCACUGCACCUUAAAGAUUGCUGACACUAAUCCACCUAGCACCGUGCUGUCAAGUCGGAUGACUCCAGGGAAGCUGCUGAUGUAAAGCAUAAACAGCCCAAGGGAGAUAACUGUGCUUAGUGAUAAAAAUGCACAGUUUUCCUAGAAUUAUAAUUUAUUCCAGAAUUUCCUUCCAGAGCAUGUCCUGGUAAAUGACUUAGAUUUGAGUGAAAAAUAAACUGAAAGUGAAAGAAAAUGAAAUGGUAAUAUGAAUUAAAAUGUCUGAAAUGUCUUCCAGUUGAUAU